rnacentral:rRNA from 1 species
AUUGAACGCUGGCGGCAGGCUUAACACAUGCAAGUCGAGCGGGGUGAUGGUGCUUGCACUAUCACUUAGCGGCGGACGGGUGAGUAAUGCUUAGGAAUCUGCCUAUUAGUGGGGGACGACAUCUCGAAAGGGAUGCUAAUACCGCAUACGUCCUACGGGAGAAAGCAGGGGAUCACUUGUGACCUUGCGCUAAUAGAUGAGCCUACGUCGGAUUAGCUAGUUGGUGGGGUAAAGGCCUACCAAGGCGACGAUCUGUAGCGGGUCUGAGAGGAUGAUCCGCCACACUGGGACUGAGACACGGCCCAGACCCCUACGGGAGGCAGCAGUGGGGAAUAUUGGACAAUGGGGGGAACCCUGAUCCAGCCAUGCCGCGUGUGUGAAGAAGGCCUUAUGGUUGUAAAGCACUUUAAGCGAGGAGGAGGCUCUUUUGGUUAAUACCCAAGAUGAGUGGACGUUACUCGCAGAAUAAGCACCGGCUAACUCUGUGCCAGCCGCCGCAGUAA